AAACUGCGAUACUUAGUGUGAAUUGCAGAACUACGUGAAUCAUCAAGAUUUUGAACGCAUCUUGCGCUCUUGGAGCUUUCACUCUUUGAGCAUGCCUAUUUGAGUACGGUUUUUAUUCUUUUUUUUAUUAUUCUUUUUUAUAAAGAAUUCUAAAAAAAUUAUCAUUCUUUUAAUUAAAGAAUGGACUUUGGGCAAUCACAAUUUAUAACAUGAUUGUGUUUCCUGAAAAAGAAAAGUGAAAUGAAAAUAAAACAAAAUUACAAAAUUAUUUAAAUCUGUAAAAUAAUGAAAGUAGUUAUCAAUAAUCAAAAGUGUGAAUUUUUUUCUAAACUUGGAUUAAUUUUCAUUUAACUUUCAUUUAUUUGUGUUCUUUUUUGAGAACUAUAGAUAUAUAUUUUUUGUUUAAAUGUUAAUUUUAUAUUUCAUUAUGAAAAUAAUUAAAAUUUUUAAAUUUUAAUUUGAAAAAACAAAUUAAAAAAAACCUCGAUCUCAAAUUAGGUAAGAAUACCCGCUGAACUUAAGC
rnacentral:misc_RNA from 1 species